UUUUUUUUAAUCAGAGGCCGAUCAGCCCCUGCAGUUGGCAUGGAUACAGCUUAGGUCAAGCAGAAACACAACUCUUAGAGUGAGGUCAUAAUGGGCUCUAUGCUUUGGCAAAGUGAGAGGCAGUUAACAGCCUCUGCCUUGAUAUUGUCAGGAUGCUGCUUCAUGAAGAUAAAGGGAUCUUUGAAGGCUUCAUUAACAUUUACCACAAGAGGAAAGGUUUUUGAAAGGUUUCUAAAGGACAUUUUCAUGCUGUUUUUUCUGUACUUCUUGAAAAGAAGUGGCAACCAUUCCAAUAUAUUCCAAUGUAUUGGUGUGCUUCAAAGAUCUAAUGUGGCUUUGUCAUUAACCAAAGUGAGAGCAUCUACUGAUGUCUCAAAGAAGAAUGAUAAAUAUUUUCUAUUGUAUUUCAACUCCAUGAGAAAUCUAUCUCCCCAUUGCUGA
rnacentral:lncRNA from 1 species